rnacentral:lncRNA from 1 species
ACCGGUGAAGUGGCAUCAAAGUCAUGAUAAGGCGUCAAGAAUGACGUCAGCCUUAACCAGAAAGUUAGCAAGGGAAGAAGAUAUCUAACGAUGUUGGUGAUACGCCAUCAGAUCCCUGACGCGGAGUCAGCCACAUCGUCAGCCUAAGAUAGAACCUGAAGGCAACUGAAGCCUCUCUGAUGCCAUCCGUGAUAGGGCGUCAACUUCUUGACACAGCUUCAGAUUGGGC